GACGAACGCUGGCGGCGUGCUUAACACAUGCAAGUCGAACGGAAAGGCCCUGCUUGCAGGGUACUCGAGUGGCGAACGGGUGAGUAACACGUGGGUGAUCUGCCCUGCACUUCGGGAUAAGCCUGGGAAACUGGGUCUAAUACCGGAUAGGAGCCAUUUUUAGUGUGAUGGUUGGAAAGUUUUUUCGGUGUAGGAUGAGCUCGCGGCCUAUCAGCUUGUUGGUGGGGUAAUGGCCUACCAAGGCGGCGACGGGUAGCCGGCCUGAGAGGGUGGACGGCGACAUUGGGACUGAGAGACGGCCCAGACUCCUACGGGAGGCAGCAGGGGGGAAUAUUGCACAAGGGGCGCAAGCCGGAUGCAGCGACGCCGCGUGGGGGAUGACGGCCUUCGGGUUGUAAACCCCUUUCGCUAGGGACGAAGCUUUUUGUGACGGUACCUAGAUAAGAAGCACCGGCUAACUACGUG
rnacentral:rRNA from 1 species